rnacentral:rRNA from 1 species
CCUACGGGUGGCAGCAGUGGGGGAUAUUGCACAAUGGGGGAAACCCUGAUGCAGCGACGCCGCGUGGGUGAAGAAGGGCCUCGGCGCGUAAAGCCCUGUCAGCAGGGAAGAAAAUGACGGUACCUGAAGAAGAAGCCCCGGCUAACUACGUGCCAGCAGCCGCGGUAAUACGUAGGGGGCAAGCGUUAUCCGGAUUUACUGGGCGUAAAGGGGGCGCAGGCGGCGUUGCAAGCCAGGCGUGAAAGCCUGGGGCCCAACCUCGGGACUGCAUGUGAAACUGCGUGGCUAGAGUGCAGGAGGGGCGAGCGGAAUUCCUGGUGUAGCGGUGAAAUGCGUAGAUAUCAGGAGGAACACCAGUGGCGAAGGCGGCCUGCUGGACUGCAGCUGACGUUGAGGCCCGAAAGCGUGGGGAGCAAACAGGAUUAGAUACCCGGGUAGUC